CCAAGCAUGGCUGACUCCGGUGGCGGUUUUUGCGCAGACAUCCAACAAAAGUUUCGAGAGGGAAAGUUUAAGACUUA
rnacentral:ribozyme from 1 species